GAUGAACGCUAGCGGCAGGCCUAAUACAUGCAAGUCGAACGGUAACAGGUCCAGCAAUGGAUGCUGACGAGUGGCGCACGGGUGCGUAACGCGUAUGCAAUCUACCUUUAACUGGUGAAUAGCCCGAAGAAAUUCGGAUUAACACACCAUAGUAUAUUAGAGUAGCAUUACUCAAAUAUUAAAACUCCGGUGGUUAAAGAUGAGCAUGCGUGACAUUAGCUAGUUGGUGAGGUAAUGGCUCGCCAAGGCAACGAUGUCUAGGGGAUCUGAGAGGAUUAACCCCCACACUGGUACUGAGACACGGACCAGACUCCUACGGGAGGCAGCAGUAAGGAAUAUUGGACAAUGGUCGCAAGACUGAUCCAGCCAUGCCGCGUGAAGGAUGACGGCCCUAUGGGUUGUAAACUUCUUUUGUAUGGGAAAAAACCUCUCUACGUGUAGAGAGCUGAUGGUACCAUAAGAAUAAGGAUCGGCUAACUCCGUGCCAGCAGCCGCAGUAACAC
rnacentral:rRNA from 1 species